rnacentral:rRNA from 1 species
AGCAAACGCUGGCGGCAGGCCUAACACAUGCAAGUCGAACGAACUCUUCGGAGUUAGUGGCGGACGGGUGAGUAACACGUGGGAACGUGCCUUUUGGUUCGGAAUAACUCAGGGAAACUUGUGCUAAUACCGAAUGUGCCCUUCGGGGGAAAGAUUUAUCGCCAUUAGAGCGGCCCGCGUCUGAUUAGCUAGUUGGUGAGGUAACGGCUCACCAAGGCGACGAUCAGUAGCUGGUCUGAGAGGAUGACCAGCCACACUGGGACUGAGACACGGCCCAGACUCCUACGGGAGGGAGCAGUGGGGAAUCUUGCGCAAUGGGCGAAAGCCUGACGCAGCCAUGCGGCGUGAAUGAUGAAGGUCUUAGGAUUGUAAAAUUCUUUCACCGGAGACGAUAAUGACGGUACCCGGAGAAGAAGCCCCGGCUAACUUCGUG